rnacentral:tRNA from 1 species
GAAGGUGUGGCUCAAUUGGUAGAGCAUCAGCCUAAACUGAAAAUCCAAGUGAGAAUUUAAGGCCCUGAGUUCAAGUCCCAGUACCAGCA